UCAGGUAUAUAUGUUAUUGUUAAGGUCUUUGUGUAUAUGUCUUGUCCUUUUUUUGUCCUUAUUUUUUUUCCUUUAGGUUGUGCGACCCAGGACUUGGCCAUACCAGGUAUAUAUGUUAUUGUUAAGGUCUUUUGUGUAUAUGUCUUGUCCUUUUUUUUCCUUUAGGAUGUACGGCCCAGGACUUCGCCAUACCAGGUAUAUAUGUUAUUGUUAAGGUCUUUGUGUAAGUUUCAUGUCCUUUUUUUGCCCCUAUUUUUUUUCCUUUAGGUUGUACGGCCCAGGACUUGGCCAUACCAGGUAUAUAUGUUAUUGUUAAGGUCUUUGUGUACAUUUCUGUCCUUUUUUUGCCCCUAUUUUUUUUCCUUUAGGUUGUGCAGCCCAGGACUUGGCCAUACCAGGUAUAUAUGUUAUUGUUAAGGUCUUUGUGUAUGUGUCUCAUGUCUUUUUUUGCCCCUAUUUUUUUUCCUUUAGGUUGUGCGGCCCAGGACUUGGCCAUACCAGGUAUAUAUGUUAUUGUUAAGGUCUUUGUGUAGUGUCUGUCAUUUUUUUGCCCCUAUUUUUUUCCUUUAGGUUGUGCGGCCCAGGACUUGGCCAUACCAGGUAUAUAUGUUAUUGUUAAGGUCUUUGUGUAAGUUUCAUGUCCUUUUUUUGCCCCUAUUUUUUUCCUUUAGGUUGUACAGCCCAGGACUUGGCCAUACCAGGUAUAUAUGUUAUUGUUAAGGUCUUUGUGUAUCAUGUCUUGCCCCUUUUUUUUUCCCUUUAGGUUGUGCAGCCCAGGACUUGGCCAUACCAGGUAUAUAUGUUAUUGUUAAGGUCUUUGUGUAAUGUCUCAUGUCCUUUUUUUGCCCCUAUUUUUUUCCUUUAGGUUGUGCAGCCCAGGACUUGGCCAUACCAGGUAUAUAUGUUAUUGUUAAGGUCUUUGUGUAUUUCUGUCAUUUUUUUGCCCCUAUUUUUUUCCUUUAGGUUGUGCAGCCCAGGACUUGGCCAUACCAGGUAUAUAUGUUAUUGUUAAGGUCUUUGUGUUGUGUCUGUCUUUUUUUGCCCCUUAUUUUUUUUUCCUUUAGGUUGUGCGGCCCAGGACUUGGCCAUACCAGGUAUAUAUGUUAUUGUUAAGGUCUUUGUGUAAUGUCUGUCCUUUUUUUGCCCCUAUUUUUUUCCUUUAGGUUGUGCAGCCCAGGACUUGGCCAUACGAGGUAUAUAUGUUAUUGUUAAGGUCUUUGUGUGUGUUUCAUGUCUUUUAUUUGCCCCUUUUCUUUUCCUUUAGGUUGUGCAGCCCAGGACUUGGCCAUACCAGGUAUAUAUGUUAUUAUUAAGGUCUUUGUGUAAGUCUCAUGUCCUUUUUUUGCCCCUAUUUUUUUUCCUUUAGGUUGUGCAGCCCAGGACUUGGCCAUACCAGGUAUAUAUGUUAUUGUUAAGGUCUUUGUGUAUAUAUGUCUUGUCCUUUUUUGUCCUUAUUUUUUUUCCUUUAGGUUGUGCGACCCAGGACUUGGCCAUACCAGGUAUAUAUGUUAUUGUUAAGGUCUUUGUGUAUAUGUCUUGUCCUUUUUUUGUCCUUAUUUUUUUUCCUUUAGGUUGUGCGACCCAGGACUUGGCCAUACCAGGUAUAUAUGUUAUUGUUAAGGUCUUUUGUGUAUAUGUCUUGUCCUUUUUUUGUCCUUUUUUUUUCCUCUAGGUUGUUCGGCCCAGUACUUGGCCAUACCAGGUAUAUAUAUGUUAUUGUUAAGGUCUUUGUGUAUAUGUCUUGUCCUUUUUUUGUCCUUAUUUUUUUUCCUUUAGGUUGUGCGACCCAGGACUUGGCCAUACCAGGUAUAUAUGUUAUUGUUAAGGUCUUUGUGUAUAUGUUCUUGUCCUUUUUUUGUCCUUAUUUUUUUCCUUUAGGAUGUACGGCCCAGGACUUCGCCAUACCAGGUAUAUAUGUUAUUGUUAAGGUCUUUGUGUAAGUUUCAUGUCCUUUUUUUGCCCCUAUUUUUUUCCUUUAGGUUGUACAGCCCAGGACUUGGCCAUACCAGGUAUAUAUGUUAUUGUUAAGGUCUUUGUGCAUUUCUCAUGUCUUUUU
rnacentral:lncRNA from 1 species